CCUACGGGAGGCAGCAGUGGGGAAUAUUGGGCAAUGGGCGCAAGCCUGACCCAGCAACGCCGCGUGAAGGAAGAAGGCUUUCGGGUUGUAAACUUCUUUUCUCAGGGACGAAGCAAGUGACGGUACCUGAGGAAUAAGCAACGGCUACCUACGUGCCAGCAGCCGCGGUAAUACGUAGGUGGCAAGCGUUAACCGGAUUUACUGGGUGUAAAGGGCGUGUAGGCGGGAAAGCAAGUCAGAUGUGAAAACCAUGGGCUCAACCUGGGGCCUGCAUUUGAAACUGUUUUUCUUGAGUACUGGAGAGGCAGACAGAAUUCCUAGUGUAGCGGUGAAAUGCGUAGAGAUUAGGAGGAACACCAGUGGCGAAGGCGGUCUGCUGGACAGCAACUGACGCUGAGGCGCGAAAGCGUGGGGAGCAAACAGGAUUAGAUACCCUAGUAGUC
rnacentral:rRNA from 1 species